AACAACUCACCUGCCGAAUGAAUUAGCCCUGAAAAUGGAUGGCGCUUAAGCGGGCAGCCGACACCGCGCCGUUCCGGCGAGACGAUGCCGGGAUGAGUAGGAGGGCGUGGCGGUCAGUGACGCAGGCGAGGGUGCAGACCCCGCUGAAACGGCCGCUAGUGCAGAUCUUGGUGGUAGUAGCAAAUAUUCAAGCGAGAUCCUUGAAGGGCGAAGCGGGGAAGGGUUCCACGCAAACAUUGAUUGGGCGUGGGUGAGUCGUUCCUAAGCCGAGUGGCAAUUGCUAAGUAGCGGCGAAAGGGAAGCGGGUUAAAAUUCCCGCACACGGAUAUGGAGGCGGCGACGCAAGCAGAGGUAAAUACGCUGGCGAGGGCGCUGGGCAGAGUUGUCUUUUCUGUUUGACCGGCAUCGCGCUGUGUGGAAUCCGCUUAUCGGGAGAAACACGCGCGGGGAGGGGCAGAGCGUCAGGUCUUUUCUGGCGUCCGGCUCGCCCUCGACGGCCCUUGAAAAUUUACCCGCGAACUUUUAAAAUUUCAUGCUGUGACGUACCGAUAACCGCAUCAGGUCCCCAAGGUGAACAGCCUCUGCUCAAUAUGAACAAU
rnacentral:rRNA from 1 species